CAGGCUUCAAUUUAGACAGCCACAGAACCUUUAUAGAUCAGACUGUAGGUGUCCAGGAUUAAAGCUUUGAAAGCCAUGGGUGUUCUGGCUCUUCCAAUUCUAAGGAUUUGAUAUAAGGCUGUGUAGGUGGUAUGUCCAAAGGAGCAGAUCAAGGAUUUACCAGAGGGGAACCCUGCUGCACAUACUGCUGUACCAAGUUUGUUCUUCUACUGCAAGAGAAAAUGAUGUCUACCAUUUUGGAACCAUGGCUUAUUGCAUUUAUCAUCUUGCUUACAGCCAUUGUAAUGUUUUUCUUGGUCCUGCUGCCUCCGGGUAUUGCCAUCUUAUGGAGGAGGAAACACUUGCCAGUAAUAUCGUUAGAUGGAACUGUGUAACCAAGACAACUGAACUUUUUCACAUUUACAUGUGACGAUAGUAUAACAAUGGGAGAUAAAACAAUUAGAUUGAAAAUAGCAACAUCAGAACACAUUGCAAAGAAGGAUAAAACACACAAAGGUAAUGACUAAAAUAAAUUAAGGAAGAGGCUGAAAGGAUAUUGAAAGCAGGUGAAACCAUACUGUUGUGGUUCCUGAGUUAAUUGAGCAAUUAACAUCCCAAUCGUAUUUAAUAUGUUGGACAUCGUUGCUGCCCAAUAUUUUGUAAAUAAAACAUACAUAAUAGCACAACAGUGACUUUAAUAGAUAUAUGACUGUUGAAAAAUAAUUGGCAGAAGCCAAUGAUAAACACUUCUCAAACUGCUGUAAUUUUACAAGGAAACAGUCAUGUUUGCAUGGAAGUCUGAUUAAAAAUUAUUUUUAUCUAUG